AGAUAGGUGCGCAAGGGAUUGCAGCGGCAGCUUUUGGCGAGGCGUGCAUCGAGCCAAAACUAUUAGCGGAAAGCUCGACCCUUU
rnacentral:misc_RNA from 1 species